rnacentral:rRNA from 1 species
UACGGAAGGUCCGGGCGUUAUCCGGAUUUAUUGGGUUUAAAGGGAGCGCAGGCCGAUGGUUAAGCGUGACGUGAAAUGUAGCCGCUCAACGGCUGCACUGCGUCGCGAACUGGCCGUCUUGAGUGGGUACGACGCCGGCGGAAUUCGUGGUGUAGCGGUGAAAUGCUUAGAUAUCACGAAGAACCCCGAUUGCGAAGGCAGCUGGCGAGUCCCUUACUGACGCUAAAGCUCGAAGGUGCGGGUAUCGAAC